UACGUAGGGUGCAAGCGUCAAUCGGAAUUACUGGGCGUAAAGCGCGCGUAGGCGGCUGCUUAAGUCGGAUGUGAAAUCCCCGGGCUCAACCUGGGAACUGCACUCGAUACUGGGCGGCUAGAGUAUGAGAGAGGGAGGUAGAAUUCCACGUGUAGCGGUGAAAUGCGUAGAUAUGUGGAGGAAUACCGGUGGCGAAGGCGGCCUCCUGGUUCAAUACUGACGCUGAGGUGCGAAAGCGUGGGGAGCAAACAGG
rnacentral:rRNA from 1 species